rnacentral:misc_RNA from 1 species
GACUUUAUUAAAAUGGAAUACUAUGUCAGUUAUAUAAAAAAACUCAUAUUAAUCUCCAAAGAAGGGGAGGAAAAAAAAAAGAAACAGAAAGUAAUUUUCUUUAUAUUGGUAGGAUGUCUCAUUAAUAAAGGAGAAAGUUAAAUUUAAUUUUAUUGUUAUAUCCUUAAUAAAUAGCUUUUGUUUAUAUUAGUAAAGUAACAUUCCACUUUAUUUAUUCUUUAAUUUCCAUUGAUUUCCUUCCAAAAUAAAAGGAUAUAGAAAGUAGACUUAGAGGGAACAUUUUUCUUUAGUUUUCCUUCGCUUCAAUCCUCUUUUUAAUACCCAAACAAAUGAAGGAAAUUUCAAUUCAUUACUGCUAAUUAUCCUCACUUCCUUCAAAAUGAGCAAAAUACUGGAGAGUGAG